rnacentral:misc_RNA from 1 species
UAAUCCUCCCUCUGUCCCUCACUUCUUCACUUUGCUAAGAAACUUUCUGAGCUCUCCUCGUAUCCAGUUGAAGAAAGCCUCCUCGCAAACCCAUUUUUCUUCUCCUUUGACAUUAGCCCAUCAACUCUACUGUCUUUCUCCCUACCAAAGCCACAGCAAUCAGCUCCUUACCUCAUUCCUUAAUCUCGGCUCCCACCCCCCUUCACUCACCUCUCGCAAAGAACCUCUUGCUCCUCUCACCGACCACAAAACUUACAUGAGACCAAACCCAG